rnacentral:rRNA from 1 species
AGCCGGAAUUGCUAGUAAUGGCAGGUCAGCAUACUGCCGUGAAUACGUUCCCGGGCCUUGUACACACCGCCCGUCACACCAUGAGAGUUGGGGAUACCCGAAGCCUGUGAGCCAACUGUAAAGAGGCAGCAGUCGAAGGUAGAAUCAAUGAUUGGGGUGAAGUCGUAACAAGGUAGC